rnacentral:rRNA from 1 species
UACGUAGGGUGCGAGCGUUGUCCGGAAUUACUGGGCGUAAAGAGCUCGUAGGUGGUUUGUCACGUCGGGAGUGAAAACACGGGGCUUAACCCCGUGCCUGCUUCCGAUACGGGCAGACUAGAGGUAUGCAGGGGAGAACGGAAUUCCUGGUGUAGCGGUGAAAUGCGCAGAUAUCAGGAGGAACACCGGUGGCGAAGGCGGUUCUCUGGGCAUUACCUGACGCUGAGGAGCGAAAGUGUGGGGAGCGAACAGG